GAAAGUCACGGCUAACUUCGUGCCAGCAGCCGCGGUAAUACGUAGGUGGCAAGCGUUAUCCGGAUUUAUUGGGCGUAAAGAGAGUGCAGGCGGUUUUCUAAGUUUGAUGUGAAAGCCUUCGGCUUAACCGGAGAAGUGCAUCGGAAACUGGAUAACUUGAGUGCAGAAGAGGGUAGUGGAACUCCAUGUGUAGCGGUGGAAUGCGUAGAUAUAUGGAAGAACACCAGUGGCGAAGGCGGCUACCUGGUCUGCAACUGACGCUGAGACUCGAAAGCAUGGGUAGCGAACAGGAUUAGAUACCCUGGUAGUCCAUGCCGUAAACGAUGAGUGCUAGGUGUUGGAGGGUUUCCGCCCUUCAGUGCCGGAGCUAACGCAUUAAGCACUCCGCCUGGGGAGUACGACCGCAAGGUUGAAACUCAAAGGAAUUGACGGGGGCCCGCACAAGCGGUGGAGCAUGUGGUUUAAUUCGAAGCUACGCGAAGAACCUUACCAGGUCUUGACAUCUUGCGCCAACCCUAGAGAUAGGGCGUUUCCUUCGGGAACGCAAUGACAGGUGGUGCAUGGUCGUCGUCAG
rnacentral:rRNA from 2 species